rnacentral:rRNA from 1 species
AUACGGGGGGUGCAAGCGUUAAUCGGAAUUACUGGGCGUAAAGCGCGCGUAGGCGGUUAAAUAAGUUGGAUGUGAAAUCCCCGGGCUCAACCUGGGAACUGCAUUCAAAACUGUUCAACUAGAGUAUGGUAGAGGGAAGUGGAAUUCCAGGUGUAGCGGUGAAAUGCGUAGAUAUCUGGAGGAACAUCAGUGGCGAAGGCGACUUCCUGGAUCAAUACUGACGCUGAGGUGCGAAAGCGUGGGGAGCAAACAGGAUUAGAAACCCCGGUAGUCC